GUCCUGAAGAUGCUGGGGCUGGACAGUGUGAAAGUAGGAGUUUGUACUUGCUUUAAGAUCUUUUGAGUGAUUUUGAAUACUUUUUAUAAAUUAUUUGUUUUUCAUUUGUUCUUUAUGUUUGAAAAAAUAAUUACAUUCCAUUUUAUCUCCCUAAGGUAAACACAAACAAAAGAAAGAAAAAAAGCAAAACCCAAAACACCAUGAAUCUCAGUAUAAAUCAGUGAAAUAUGAUUCUUCAGAUAAUGAAUUAUUUCCUCGUGCAUCAUCUUCCUCAGGAUGCCAUACGGAUUCAAGCAAUGAAGGUUGUUUACCACCCUGUUAAGGUUUUUGCAUAUAUAACUUAAGUCAUUUUAAAAAAUUAAUUAAACCUCCUUCAUAAUUUGUUUAUUUGACUAAUAUUUAUUGAGCCUACCUAAUAUGUGCCAGACAUAAUGGUAAAUAUGGCAGGAGGUAAUGGUGCCAUAAUAAUGGUAAAUAUCUCUUCAGUCAAGGAACUUAUUUUAUAUUGGGCAAUACAAAUAAACAAAUAGUCUAUUACUGUAUAGAUGAAUGCACAUGCUAAUCACCAUUGACAUUAGGGAUUUUUAUUCUCUCUCAAGUAAUAUGCUUAUACUUCUAUUCCUUGAUUUAUUAGUAGUCUAAUCAGAAUUUUUUCUUACUAGCGAAAGGAACUAACUGGAUGAUUUAAGUGGAAAAGGAAUUAUAUUGAGUAACUUACAUAAUUGCCAAGAAGCAUAGAGAAUUCAUCUCUGAAUGUGGAUAGGAAUAAGGUGAAAUUUGAUAGCCAGACUAUAGCCAAUUUUAGUUCACAGAGCCUGAUGAGGGCACAGUGCCAUCACUGCCACUGUUGAACCUGGAUGCCUUAUCUUGCAAUGUCAGUGUUACUUGAUGUCACCAGUACCAUCACUGCCACUGCUGCCACAAGACACUGUGUAUUUCUGCCACUAUGACUAGAAUGGAUUCUUCAUUAUUUCUGUCUCAUUAUGUCAUUAACUUCUAGGCAGUGAUAGGCUCAUCCUAGGUCAUAUGCCUAUGUCCUAAGUGCAAAGGAAGCUAGGAAAACAAGCACUGGCAUUUUCAGCAUUGACAGCAGAAAACAUAGGAAGCAGAAUCAGACACUGGGCAAUCAAAAUUAUAACAUAUAUUAUGCAUAUUCAUACUAACUCUAGAUAUGUCAAUUGACUAUCUCACUUGAAAUUAUUCUUUUGUUUUACCUAUCCUUAUUCUCUCGGUGUUUGCUAGUGGUGUUUUGAUUAGUGUUUCUAUGAAUUAAUAAAUAUUAUCCUUAUAACUCUUUAUAUACUCUCUUUUAUACAGGUUAAGUAAUUGGUGUUUAAAUUACUAUCACUAUAUAAAUAUUGUUAC
rnacentral:lncRNA from 1 species